rfam:Beta vulgaris subsp. vulgaris Bvchr5.sca008.con0257.1, whole genome shotgun sequence.
AAACCAUGCUGAGGACAGAGACGCUGCAGAUCCUUGAACCUGUCCCAAGCUUCAUACAAGGACUCACCACGAUCUUGGGUGAAAGUAACUAUGGCAUGUCUCAUAUCUGCAGUCU